GGGCCCUUAGUGUAACCUGGCAGCACCCGAGCCUUGGAAGCUCGACAUGGCCGUUCAAAUCGGCCGCGGCCCA
rnacentral:tRNA from 1 species